rnacentral:lncRNA from 1 species
CCUUCCUGCACUCCACACGGGUUGGCUAAACUUAAAUGAUCUUGCAAGGUAAAACACAACCGUAACACUACAAUGGAAACAAGCAACCCCACUGUGAAAGCACAAGCUCGAGUCUACAACUGCAAUGGUAUAAACGGCAAAAAACCACAAACCAAACACAAAGCAACACUUCCCAAUGUUGCAUGCCCCAAAACUCAUCACAAAACAAGAUGCAUGCAGGAGGAUCAUUCCGUUCCACUGAGCACAUUUAAAUUAAAGAGUCAGUCGUUUGGAGUCUAUGUGAGCAGCUUUGUGGUUAACUUUAAAUGUGUCCCUGGCCACCGGUCUAUACUGGCCUGUUUUACAAAGGUGACCCCCGCUGGUGGGAAGCCACACCGUGCUUUGAGUGUUUCUUGCCCACACAUACACCUCACACAUACUGUUCUGCCUCCCCAUCUUUGGCGGCUGGUUUAGCUGCCCCACUUUUACCUUCUUCGUUACCAGCUGCUUUUUCUGGGAGAGAGGCCAAAUCUUUAAAGACAUCCACAUAAUGACCAAAGCCUGGGCCCCAGUUCAAAAGGUUGUCCCAGUUGAAGUUGCCUGCCUGCUGCCCCAGCUUCAGGGUGCUGUCUGCAGCCCCAGACGCUGCUGCAGGGGUACCCACUGGUCCCCCCUCAGCCCUGCGUCCAUGGUACCUUCUGGGUUUCAGUCUGGCUCCAUAAUUAUCUUCGUCAUCUGCAUCGGAUUCGUUGACUUGAGAUAACUUGGGCAUCCUGGAAGUGUAGACCACGGGCUUCUCCCUGUCGUAUUCCAUUUCUGAGCACGUGAAAGAAUCAUGGGAGUCACUGUCAGAAGACGAUUCUGGGGCAGGGAUGCCAUCUGCUGGGUUCCUGGUUCUGGACAGGGGCCUUCUACAGUCUUCUUCAGAAGAGGACCUCCCAUGGUCUGCACUGCAGAUGCUGGGGUUUCUGGGUCGAGGGGUGUUGAGCCUCUCUACCUCCUCUAUGGAGAGUCCCACGGGAGGAGAAGAUUCUAGAGGGAUCUGUGCUAUGGGCUGUUUGAGGCGACUCCCUGGUCUCGAUCCAUGAGAUGCCAUGGCCUGAGGGCUCUUACUUCUUCUCCCUAGCCUGGUGGCAUAGUUGAACAUGCCAGGCUGGCAGGGGUCCCCAUGCAUUUCCAGCGUACCCCCAUCCCUCAGAGGAAGAUGCAGUUCCCGGGCUGGGCUGUUCCUGUAGAAGGCAGAUGGUUUGGAGAAAGGAGCUGGGCUGUGCCUGGACAGAGGGUUGGGAGUGGGGCAGGCCGAGUGGCUAAGGGAGCUGGUUCUUAACCCUUGGCCAUAUGAAGAAGGCUGGUAGGUCAGACUGCUUGCUCCCAAGGGCAUAGGGGACUGCCUGGCGAAGCCCAGAGGACUGUGCCUCUGGAUGGAAAACUUAGGCGUGUGGCUUCGGAACUGUUUGUAGUGCUGGAUGAUGUCUGCAUCUGAGGGCGCGAUACUGCUGGCAUUGUCGAUGUCAUAGUGCUCAAUCUCCUGCUCAGGGGAAGCCAGCGGGGCACUAGGGAUGGUCUCUGAGUUGUGGGGGAUGUCAGUCUCAUCGAAGAUUAGAUAGGGGUUCUCUCGCUCUAUGAUGUCCGGCUUGGGAUUCCCCUCAGGUUGCUUCCUAACAGCUAGGUCAUCCCCAUAGGGAGGGAUGUUGUCUGGGUCAUCAAAAGCUACAUUCUCACUGCCCUUUUUCUUCUUCUCCUUCGGCUUCUUCUCCUCUUUGGGGUUUUUGGGCAUCUUUCCCCUGCACUGGUUGCAUAGAAUCAAACUGAGGACCAGCAGCGCUAGGGCUGUGGCACAGCUGCCCACAAUUGCAGGCACUGCCCACAGAGGUCAAAGACCAAGAGUUACCACGAGAUCAAAUUUAUUUUAUGAACAUCAGAAAGAACAAAAUCAAGUCCAAUUGCUACAACUACAAGACCAUGGGGUGUGCAAUCAUUGACCAUAUGCCUUCCAAACAGCCAACCACCUUCCUUGGUAGCACUAAGUUGGUUUGAGAUGAAAAGUCAGAAUUCUCCCGGAUCUUUACUGAAGAUGCCCUCCAGAUUACUUUGGGUCCAUUUACUUGGAUGUCACAUCUUGGCCAUCCCACUAAGACAAUAGCUUUCCAUAAUGCAGUGCUUUUCUGAUACUGGCUGCUAACACCUCAUCUUGGGAGUCCUCCCCAGUUCAUCCUCAUAAACAGCCUGAAAGAUGAUCAAUACUACAGCAUGCUUAACUGCAAUACUCAUUAAAUUCUUACUUACUCUUCACUGUUCUGCACGUGAAAUAAAUAAGUCCAC